UCAUACUGUCAGAUCUGAAGGCAAGCAAUGUUAUCUUAGACAGUGGUAUGACUCCAAAAUAUGUUGCAGCAGUUAUAUGUCAUCUGAAUACGUCAUGGGAGGAGUAUUCUCCGAGAAGUCUGAUGUCUACAGCUUUGGCGUUUUGAUACUAGAGAUUGCUAAGUGGCAGGACAAACACAGGAUUUUAUGACCAUGAGAAGCAUUUGGACCAGUAUUCGAACCUUCUUAGUUAUGACUCUAGACUUAGAUAAAGCACUUCCGCACUCAUUUUCCUCCGCGACAGUGUUGAUAUGCAUACAUGUUGGCUUGGUUUGCGCCCAGGACAAUGCUGCUGAUUGGCCAUCAAUGUCAUCUGUCACUCUUAUGCUAAGUAGUGAGAUGGAUUUGCCUCAACCAAAACAGCCUACAUUUGUAUUUCAUAGGUGGUUGGAUUCGGAGUCUGUUAACGUAUUACUGUCUUGGUGGCAGAAGGGUGACAACUAAAGCAGAAGCGCGAUAUCUGAAGCUGAAAAUACUACGAGUAGUAGUCAUGUAAUGAGUUUCAAGAUUGACCAUAUCGGUUUUCAAUAUGCACGUAGCUCGUUUAGGCUAUUCUACUCAUUCAGUAAGUUUUUUCCCUUCCUUAUACACCUUAACUUGACUUCAACCGUCAACUAAAUACUCCCAACUUUGAGAAUGCAAAUCUAGACACCUCAACUCAUCUUCAUUGCGUCUCAUGGACACCUGAUGCUGACGUGACACAUACAUUUUGGAGAUGUCUAGAUGGUCAUUUUGUAAGUCCGAGUGUUCAAUUAACACUAGAGAGACGAGUUAACUCUUUAGUUGUCAGUUGAGCCAAGUGAAAAGAUGUUUAUCUAAUGUAUAUUAUGCCUUCUUAUAAAUACUGCAUAAUGUAUAGUACUUUUGAGUCUCAUGCUAAAAUUGUGGCCAUAAUGUAAUUUAGAUUACAUCUCCCUUUAUUCA